UGCGGAAUAUUGGACAAUGGGGGGAACCCUGAUCCAGCCAUGCCGCGUGUGUGAAGAAGGCCUUAUGGUUGUAAAGCACUUUAAGCGAGGAGGAGGGUACUGGUAUUAAUACUACCAGGUACUGGACGUUACUCGCAGAAUAAGCACCGGCUAACUCUGUGCCAGCAGCCGCGGUAAUACAGAGGGUGCGAGCGUUAAUCGGAUUUACUGGGCGUAAAGCGUGCGUAGGCGGCUAAUUGAGUCGGAUGUGAAAUCCCCGAGCUUAACUUGGGAAUUGCAUUCGAUACUGGUUAGCUAGAGUGUGGGAGAGGAUGGUAGAAUUCCAGGUGUAGCGGUGAAAUGCGUAGAGAUCUGGAGGAAUACCGAUGGCGAAGGCAGCCAUCUGGCCUAACACUGACGCUGAGGUACGAAAGCAUGGGGAGCAAACAGG
rnacentral:rRNA from 1 species